GUUCAGAGGUGCUUUGUUUUUGUUUUUUUUUUUUUUUUUUCCCUUUCCUGAAGAUAGAUUGAUUGUAACAUGUGAUUUGAGGCUAUCAACUCCUACUACAGAAGAUGAAAUAAAUGAGAUCCAUUCUUCUCCAUUUUGACUUUCAAAGUCAGAUUUGAAGUAUCAACAUCAUCUCCAAACUACAGUAGCAUGGAGAUUAUUCAACUUUUGAACCUCAAGAGUGGAAUCACUUUACAAAAUUAUCCUGGAAACUUGAUAUUCACUUUUAUAUAAAGAAAAAGACAAGCCAAAGAGUUUAUUCUCAUAUGUGGAGGCAAGUAAGCAAUCUCUGGUAGUCAUGCAGUAAUGGACUAAGCUCUUUCAAUGUUAUUGACCUUGGUGGACUUCAUCCAGUGGUCACGAGGUGCCUGGACAAUUUUUUAAUGAAUAAAGUGUCAGGAGACAUGGCAGACGUGUGUGCAUGGAGUCAAGUCUACUGAAACAAAUUAGAAAUCAUUAAAAACCUCUAUCUUUCCCACAGCCCCUUCACCAAUCGCUCUUGAUGCCAUUUGGACCAAUUCUGUCUUCCAUUUCAUCUAAUGAUUUUCUACGGAUUAGAAUGUAAAACUGAACUUUCUAAUCUUUUCUGCAACUCUUGACACUGCAGAUCCUUCAACUUGGCCUUCCUGUGAGAGAAGAAUAAAUUAGCAGCAUGAGUUGUCAUGGUGCAUAUGAAUAUGACAGACAGAUUUUACUAUGACUGUCUCUUUUUAACGUUUAGCAGGUUUUUUUAACUUUAAAUCUGUUACCUUGCUGCAAGUGAAGAUGCAGCAAAAACAAGCAGAUUUUAAUGUUUUGACAGUGCCCUUUCAUGCCUCCGUUGCUGCAUCUUGUUGAGUGUACG
rnacentral:lncRNA from 1 species